ACUCCUACGGGAGGCAGCAGUGGGGAAUAUUGCACAAUGGGGGAAACCCUGAUGCAGCCAUGCCGCGUGUGUGAAGAAGGCCUUCGGGUUGUAAAGCACUUUCAGUAGGGAGGAAGGUAGUGUAGUUAACACCUGCACUAUUUGACGUUACCUACAGAAGAAGCACCGGCUAACUCCGUGCCAGCAGCCGCGGUAAUACGGAGGGUGCGAGCGUUAAUCGGAAUUACUGGGCGUAAAGCGCAUGCAGGCGGCCUGUUAAGUCAGAUGUGAAAGCCCGGGGCUUAACCUCGGAAUUGCAUUUGAAACUGGCAGGCUAGAGUCUUGUAGAGGGGGGUAGAAUUUCAGGUGUAGCGGUGAAAUGCGUAGAGAUACUGAAGGAAUACCAGUGGCGAAGGCGGCCCCCUGGACAAAGACUGACGCUCAGAUGCG
rnacentral:rRNA from 1 species